AGCGAACAUUGGCGGUAGGCUUAACACAUGCAAGUCGAGCGAGGCGUAAUAGUCGAGCGGCGAACGGGUGCGUAAUACAUGGGAAUCUACCCUGAAGUGGGGGAUAACGUUCAGAAAUGGACGCUAAUACCGCAUAAUCCACAUUGGGAAAGCGUUGCAGCGCUUUAGGAUGAGCCCAUGGCUGAUUAGCUAGUUGGUGAGGUAAUGGCUCACCAAGGCGACGAUCAGUAGCUGGUCUGAGAGGAUGACCAGCCACACUGGAACUGAGACACGGUCCAGACUCCUACGGGAGGCAGCAGUGGGGAAUCUUGCGCAAUGGGGGCAACCCUGACGCAGCCAUACCGCGUGAGUGAUGAAGGUCUUCGGAUUGUAAAGCUCUUUUGGCGGGGACGACGAUGACGGUACCCGCAAAAGAAGUCACGGCUAACUUCGUGCCAGCCGCCGCCGUAA
rnacentral:rRNA from 1 species